rnacentral:rRNA from 1 species
CGCGGCCUAUCAGCUUGUUGGUGAGGUAAUGGCUCACCAAGGCUUCGACGGGUAGCUAGUCUGAGAGGACGAAUAGCCACACUGGAACUGAGACACGGUCCAGACUCCUACGGGAGGCAGCAGUGGGGAAUCUUGCACAAUGGGCGAAAGCCUGAUGCAGCGACGCCGCGUGGGGGAUGAAGGCCCUAGGGUCGUAAACCCCUUUCAGGAGGGACGAAAAUGACGGUACCUCCAGAAGAAGCCCCGGCCAACUACGUGCCAGCAGCCGCGGUAAGACGUAGGGGGCGAGCGUUGUCCGGAUUUAUUGGGCGUAAAGGGCUCGUAGGUGGUUGCGUAAGUCGGAUGUGAAAACUCAGGGCUUAACCCUGAGACGCCAUCCGAUACUGCGCUGACUUGAGUCCGGUAGAGGAGUGUGGAAUUCCUGGUGUAGCGGUGAAAUGCGCAGAUAUCAGGAGGAACACCUACAGCGAAGGCAGCACUCUGGGCCGGUACUGACACUGAGGAGCGAAAGCGUGGGUAGCAAACAGGAUUAGAUACCCUGGUAGUCCACGCCGUAAACGGUGGGCACUAGAUGUGGGGACUUUCAACGGUCUCUGCGUCGUAGCUAACGCAUUAAGUGCCCCGCCUGGGGAGUACGG